rnacentral:rRNA from 1 species
AGAGUUUGAUCAUGGCUCAGGACGAACGCUGGCGGCGUGCUUAACACAUGCAAGUCGAACGGAAAGGCCCUUCGGGGUGCUCGAGUGGCGAACGGGUGAGUAACACGUGGGUGAUCUGCCCUGCACUUUGGGAUAAGCCUGGGAAACUGGGUCUAAUACCGGAUAGGACUCCGAGAUGCAUGUCUUGGGGUGGAAAGCUUUUGCGGUGUGGGAUGGGCCCGCGGCCUAUCAGCUUGUUGGUGGGGUGAUGGCCUACCAAGGCGACGACGGGUAGCCGGCCUGAGAGGGUGUCCGGCCACACUGGGACUGAGAUACGGCCCAGACUCCUACGGGAGGCAGCAGUGGGGAAUAUUGCACAAUGGGCGCAAGCCUGAUGCAGCGACGCCGCGUGAGGGAUGACGGCCUUCGGGUUGUAAACCUCUUUCAGUACCGACGAAGCGUAAGUGACGGUAGGUACAGAAGAAGCACCGGCCAACUACGUGCCAGCAGCCGCGGUAAUACGUAGGGUGCGAGCGUUGUCCGGAAUUACUGGGCGUAAAGAGCUCGUAGGUGGUUUGUCGCGUUGUUCGUGAAAACUCACAGCUUAACUGUGGGCGUGCGGGCGAUACGGGCAGACUGGAGUACUGCAGGGGAGACUGGAAUUCCUGGUGUAGCGGUGGAAUGCGCAGAUAUCAGGAGGAACACCGGUGGCGAAGGCGGGUCUCUGGGCAGCAACUGACGCUGAGGAGCGAAAGCGUGGGGAGCGAACAGGAUUAGAUACCCUAGUAGUCC